rnacentral:pre_miRNA from 2 species
CAUGAGAUUGCUGGGUCAUAUGGUAGGUAUAUGUUUAACUUUAUAAGAAACUGCCAAACUGUUUCCCAAAGUGGCUGUACCACUUUGCAUUCCUACCAGCAAU